rnacentral:lncRNA from 1 species
GGAAAGGAAAGUUUUGAGAAAUUUGGAAAGGCUCUGCCUCCUUGAGGAAGUGGGGUUUUCCUCUCUGCUGUCCCCUUGACCACAAGAUUGUGCUGCUCGGAGCUCCUGGAGAUAAGUUGGGAUUCCACAAGUCAAGAAUACAACACAAUCAAGCACAUUUGUUUCCACCAUUACAGCCACAGCUCUCCAGUAAGGCAUGAACCAGCUACAGACAGUUGGACAAGGGGUAUCCAAAGGAGUGUCUAAAAGAUCUGCAAGGAGCAUGGGCAGAUCCUUAGCAGAGGUGAGGAUUUCCUGUCACUAGAAGUCUGUCCAGCAUGGGGAACCAUGAGGGUUAGUGGAGACUUCAGAGGCUUCUAGAGUUGAGGCCUCUACAAGCUUUGCCGCCCUGGCUCUUAACGGGUGGAUAUGCCUUGCUGCCGGACCCAAUGGAAGACUAAGAUCCAGCAGGCAGGGAGCCACAGCAGGCUCCAGAUUCUCCUGACCCCUCUGACGCCCUUCCUGGAAGAGGGCUCUCGGCCGCCCCCUGCUGGAUUGCUGCACAGCUGCCCCACCUAGGCCCUGGGACACAUUCUCCCACGAAACCCUGUCCCAGGGCCAAAGGCAGAGUCGGAGCAAAUCAAUCAGGAGUCUGCCCUCUCCUG